GGAUGAACGCUAGCGAUAGGCUUAACACAUGCAAGUCGAGGGGCAGCAUGGUCUUAGCUUGCUAAGACUGAUGGCGACCGGCGCACGGGUGCGUAACGCGUAUGCAACUUGCCUCACAGAGGGGGAUAACCCGUCGAAAGACGGACUAAUACCGCGUACACUUACAGGAGGGCAUCCUUCAGUAAGGAAAUGAAAUUCGCUGUGAGAUAGGCAUGCGUCCCAUUAGCUAGUUGGUGAGGUAACGGCUCACCAAGGCAACGAUGGGUAGGGGAACUGAGAGGUUGAACCCCCACACUGGUACUGAGACACGGACCAGACUCCUACGGGAGGCAGCAGUGAGGAAUAUUGGUCAAUGGGCGAGAGCCUGAACCAGCCAAGUCGCGUGAAGGAUGACUGUCUUAUGGAUUGUAAACUUCUUUUGUAGGGGAAUAAAGACCAGUACGUGUACUGGAGUGAAUGUACCCUACGAAUAAGCAUCGGCUAACUCCGUG
rnacentral:rRNA from 1 species